UACGGAGGGUGCUAGCGUUGUUCGGAAUCACUGGGCGUAAAGCGCGUGUAGGCGGCCCACUAAGUCUGAUGUGAAAGCCCGGGGCUCACCCCCGGAAGUGCAUUGGAAACUGGUGGACUCGAGUCCCGGAGAGGAGGGUGGAAUUCCUGGUGUAGCGGUGAAAUGCGUAGAUAUCAGGAGGAACACCGGUGGCGAAGGCGGUGGUCUGGGCCGGCACUGACGCUGAGGAGCGAAAGCGUGGGUAGCAAACAGG
rnacentral:rRNA from 1 species